GGGUUGUGAGGUUAAGCGACUAAGCGUACACGGUGGAUGCCCUGGCAGUCAGAGGCGAUGAAGGGCGUACUAAUCUGCGAUAAGCGCCGGUAAGGUGAUAUGAACCGUUAUAACCGGCGAUACCCGAAUGGGGAAACCCAGUGUGAUUCGUCACACUAUCAUUAACUGAAUCCAUAGGUUAAUGAGGCGAACCGGGGGAACUGAAACAUCUAAGUACCCCGAGGAAAAGAAAUCAACCGAGAUUCCCCCAGUAGCGGCGAGCGAACGGGGAGGAGCCCAGAGCCUGAAUCAGCAUGUGUGUUAGUGGAAGCGUCUGGAAAGGCGCGCGAUACAGGGUGACAGCCCCGUACACAAAAGCGCAUGUGCUGUGAGCUCGAUGAGUAGGGCGGGACACGUGGUAUCCUGUCUGAAUAUGGGGGGACCAUCCUCCAAGGCUAAAUACUCCUGACUGACCGAUAGUGAACCAGUACCGUGAGGGAAAGGCGAAAAGAACCCCGGCGAGGGGAGUGAAAAAGAACCUGAAACCGUGUACGUACAAGCAGUGGGAGCACNNNNNNNNNNNNGUGACUGCGUACCUUUUGUAUAAUGGGUCAGCGACUUAUAUUCUGUAGCAAGGUUAACCGAAUAGGGGAGCCGGAGGGAAACCGAGUCUUAAUUGGGCGUUAAGUUGCAGGGUAUAGACCCGAAACCCGGUGAUCUAGCCAUGGGCAGGUUGAAGGUUGGGUAACACUAACUGGAGGACCGAACCGACUAAUGUUGAAAAAUUAGCGGAUGACCUGUGGCUGGGGGUGAAAGGCCAAUCAAACCGGGAGAUAGCUGGUUCUCCCCGAAAGCUAUUUAGGUAGCGCCUCGUGAAUUCAUCUCCGGGGGUAGAGCACUGUUUCGGCUAGGGGGCCAUCCCGGCUUACCAACCCGAUGCAAACUGCGAAUACCGGAGAAUGUUAUCACGGGAGACACACGGCGGGUGCUAACGUCCGUCGUGAAGAGGGAAACAACCCAGACCGCCAGCUAAGGUCCCAAAGUCAUGGUUAAGUGGGAAACGAUGUGGGAAGGCCCAGACAGCCAGGAUGUUGGCUUAGAAGCAGCCAUCAUUUAAAGAAAGCGUAAUAGCUCACUGGUCGAGUCGGCCUGCGCGGAAGAUGUAACGGGGCUAAACCAUGCACCGAAGCUGCGGCAGCGACACUGUGUGUUGUUGGGUAGGGGAGCGUUCUGUAAGCCUGCGAAGGUGGCCUGUGAGGGUUGCUGGAGGUAUCAGAAGUGCGAAUGCUGACAUAAGUAACGAUAAAGCGGGUGAAAAGCCCGCUCGCCGGAAGACCAAGGGUUCCUGUCCAACGUUAAUCGGGGCAGGGUGAGUCGACCCCUAAGGCGAGGCCGAAAGGCGUAGUCGAUGGGAAACGGGUUAAUAUUCCCGUACUUGGUGUUACUGCGAAGGGGGGACGGAGAAGGCUAUGUUGGCCGGGCGACGGUUGUCCCGGUUUAAGCGUGUAGGUGUGUGUUCCAGGUAAAUCCGGUUCACUUUAACACUGAGGCGUGACGACGAGGCACUACGGUGCUGAAGCAACAAAUGCCCUGCUUCCAGGAAAAGCCUCUAAGCAUCAGGUAACAUCAAAUCGUACCCCAAACCGACACAGGUGGUCAGGUAGAGAAUACCAAGGCGCUUGAGAGAACUCGGGUGAAGGAACUAGGCAAAAUGGUGCCGUAACUUCGGGAGAAGGCACGCUGACACGUAGGUGAAGUGAUUUACUCAUGGAGCUGAAGUCAGUCGAAGAUACCAGCUGGCUGCAACUGUUUAUUAAAAACACAGCACUGUGCAAACACGAAAGUGGACGUAUACGGUGUGACGCCUGCCCGGUGCCGGAAGGUUAAUUGAUGGGGUCAGCGCAAGCGAAGCUCCUGAUCGAAGCCCCGGUAAACGGCGGCCGUAACUAUAACGGUCCUAAGGUAGCGAAAUUCCUUGUCGGGUAAGUUCCGACCUGCACGAAUGGCGUAAUGAUGGCCAGGCUGUCUCCACCCGAGACUCAGUGAAAUUGAACUCGCUGUGAAGAUGCAGUGUACCCGCGGCAAGACGGAAAGACCCCGUGAACCUUUACUAUAGCUUGACACUGAACAUUGAGCCUUGAUGUGUAGGAUAGGUGGGAGGCUUUGAAGUGUGGACGCCAGUCUGCAUGGAGCCGACCUUGAAAUACCACCCUUUAAUGUUUGAUGUUCUAACGUGGACCCGUUACCCGGGUUGCGGACAGUGUCUGGUGGGUAGUUUGACUGGGGCGGUCUCCUCCUAAAGAGUAACGGAGGAGCACGAAGGUUGGCUAAUCCUGGUCGGACAUCAGGAGGUUAGUGCAAUGGCAUAAGCCAGCUUGACUGCGAGCGUGACGGCGCGAGCAGGUGCGAAAGCAGGUCAUAGUGAUCCGGUGGUUCUGAAUGGAAGGGCCAUCGCUCAACGGAUAAAAGGUACUCCGGGGAUAACAGGCUGAUACCGCCCAAGAGUUCAUAUCGACGGCGGUGUUUGGCACCUCGAUGUCGGCUCAUCACAUCCUGGGGCUGAAGUAGGUCCCAAGGGUAUGGCUGUUCGCCAUUUAAAGUGGUACGCGAGCUGGGUUUAGAACGUCGUGAGACAGUUCGGUCCCUAUCUGCCGUGGGCGCUGGAGAACUGAGGGGGGCUGCUCCUAGUACGAGAGGACCGGAGUGGACGCAUCACUGGUGUUCGGGUUGUCAUGCCAAUGGCACUGCCCGGUAGCUAAAUGCGGAAGAGAUAAGUGCUGAAAGCAUCUAAGCACGAAACUUGCCCCGAGAUGAGUUCUCCCUGAGACUUAAAGUCUCCUGAAGGAACGUUGAAGACGACGACGUUGAUAGGCCGGGUGUGUAAGCGCAGCGAUGCGUUGAGCUAACCGGUACUAAUGAACCGUGAGGCUUAACCUUACAACGCCGAAG
rnacentral:rRNA from 1 species